GGGGAAUUGUUCGCAAUGGGCGCAAGCCUGACGACGCAACGCCGCGUGGAGGAUGAAGGUCUUCGGAUUGUAAACUCCUGUUGAUCGGGACGAACAACCAUCGGGAUAACACACCGGAGGUCUGACGGUACCGAUUGAGGAAGCCCCGGCUAACUCUGUGCCAGCAGCCGCGGUAAUACGUAGGGACCAAGCGUUGUUCGGAUUUACUGGGCGUAAAGGGCGCGUAGGCGGCGCGGUAAGUCACUUGUGAAAUCUCUGAGCUUAACUCAGAACGGCCAAGUGAUACUGCAGUGCUAGAGUGUGGAAGGGGCAAUCGGAAUUCUUGGUGUAGCGGUGAAAUGCGUAGAUAUCAAGAGGAACACCUGAGGUGAAGACGGGUUGCUGGGCCAACACUGACGCUGAGGCGCGAAAGCCAGGGGAGCAAAC
rnacentral:rRNA from 1 species